CGGGCCUGUUUGAGUGAAGAAGCAGAACCUGAACUGCAAUCUCCAAAUAGGCAUGCAGAGUUCCAUUUAUAAAUGUCUGAGUUGGGAGACAAGGCAGAGCCAUCAUCAUGUCCAUGAAAUUACAGCGAAGAAGUAAAACAACGUGCUUCGAGUUACAGAGCAGCAGUCCCUCGGCUCCAUUUAGAGAAGCAGUACAUGGGCAGAGCCGUGCUUCCAAGGGAUGCGGUCCACAGCCCGUUCUGCAGAUGGGCUCCACUUGCUUCCUGGGGGUGCCACUUCAAAAGCUGCCAUUGUGGAGCAGUUCCAGUUUCUGCAGUCUCACAGGACCCUGGAGAGCCAGCCUUGACCUGUUGUUAACUGAGGAGGCUUCUCACGGAAGAAGCUGCUUGACAUUCCGCAGGAAGAAAUGUGGAAUCCCGCAGAAAAACACAGCACCUUUGAGAUCACCCUCAGCAAGGUGGAUGGAAACUCCAGAGGAGAACUGGAAAGGCCAGUGUGACAGCCAACUCGGGCCUCUGGGAGGGGCCUCAAGGA
rnacentral:lncRNA from 1 species